CGGGGCUGCUCCGCCGCCGCACCAGCCCCAGCACCGGCAGCACAAAUCGACACCUCCGCACACCCGCCCCGCCGGAGACAGGGACCCCCCCAAAACCGCAGACGGAAGGCGGGUCCCAAGGCGGGCUAAGGGGAAAACAGCCCAAUUCCGCCGCCCUCGAUAAUGGCACCGGCAGGCGCGGGGUUACCAUCAUCUUGUAACAACUACUCUGGCCUUGGCUCUUGGGCUUGAAUUGCAGCAGGAAGUUAAUGCCUUUGUCUUCUUAUUGCUCUUUACAGAGUGCAGCUCAUGAGCUUGGCUUUGCAGCCCUUACUUCAGUACUCACAACUGGCCCAAGGAGUAUAGAGCUCACCAAGAGACAAGCAUUUGGCAAAGAAAGUGCUGAAGACAAACCAAAACAACUCCAAAUAUCACUUUACUAUACUUAAACAUUUUGAACUUCUGGUCAUGGGUUUGCCAUAAGUCUGAAGGAUCAAAUGAGAUUUGUGUGAUUUGACUGAGAUUGUGGCAAAGGCACGUGUUGCUCUAUCUCUAUUUUCUGCUCUAUUCUCUAUUCCCUGUUUGAGGGAGUGAAACUGGUCCACAAAACAUUGCACUUCAACUGCUUUUUUCAGAGUAGAGUUCAUGACAAAAGUUUGCCCCAAAACUUUCAAAUAUAAAACUGGUAAUUUAAAAAUAAAAAAUUCUAUUUCUCAGAAUUUUAUUGCUCUUAAGCAGGACUACUGAAAAGGAAAAGAAGCUGUAGUUUAUUUUGUUAUCUUUAAGGGGAAAUAGAAGAUGGAAUAAAAAAAGUGAAAAGGAAUUAGAAGAUGACUUACUCUUAACUUUCACAAGCAUAAAUAUUUUUGAAAAC